rnacentral:rRNA from 1 species
UACGAAGGGGGCUAGCGUUGCUCGGAAUCACUGGGCGUAAAGCGCACGUAGGCGGAUCUUUAAGUCAGGGGUGAAAUCCUGGAGCUCAACUCCAGAACUGCCUUUGAUACUGGGAAUCUCGAGUCCGGGAGAGGUGAGUGGAACUGCGAGUGUAGAGGUGAAAUUCGUAGAUAUUCGCAAGAACACCAGUGGCGAAGGCGGCUCACUGGCCCGGUACUGACGCUGAGACGCGAAAGCGUGGGGAGCGAACAGG